CCUACGGGAGGCAGCAGUGGGGAAUAUUGGACAAUGGGGGCAACCCUGAUCCAGCCAUGCCGCGUGUGUGAAGAAGGCCCUCGGGUUGUAAAGCACUUUCAGUGAGGAAGAACGCCUGGUGGUUAAUACCCAUCAGGAAAGACAUCACUCACAGAAGAAGCACCGGCUAACUCCGUGCCAGCAGCCGCGGUAAUACGGAGGGUGCGAGCGUUAAUCGGAAUUACUGGGCGUAAAGCGCGCGUAGGUGGCUUGAUAAGCCGGUUGUGAAAGCCCCGGGCUCAACCUGGGAACGGCAUCCGGAACUGUCAAGCUAGAGUGCAGGAGAGGAAGGUAGAAUUCCAGGUGUAGCGGUGAAAUGCGUAGAGAUCGGGAGGAAUACCAGUGGCGAAGGCGGCCUUCUGGACUGACACUGACACUGAGGUGCGAAAGCGUGGGUAGCAAACAGGAUUAGAUACCCUAGUAGUC
rnacentral:rRNA from 1 species